rnacentral:rRNA from 1 species
UACGAAGGGGGCUAGCGUUGUUCGGAAUUACUGGGCGUAAAGCGCGCGCAGGCGGCUAUCCAAGUCAGUGGUGAAAGCCCGGAGCUCAACUCCGGAAUUGCCAUUGAAACUGUUUAGCUUGAGUACGAGAGAGGUGAGUGGAAUUCCCAGUGUAGAGGUGAAAUUCGUAGAUAUUCGCAAGAACACCAGUGGCGAAGGCGGCUCACUGGCCCGAUACUGACGCUGAGGUGCGAAAGCGUGGGGAGCAAACAGG